GAUGAACGCUGGCGGCGUGCCUAAUACAUGCAAGUCGAGCGAACAGACGAGGAGCUUGCUCCUCUGACGUUAGCGGCGGACGGGUGAGUAACACGUGGAUAACCUACCUAUAAGACUGGGAUAACUUCGGGAAACCGGAGCUAAUACCGGAUAAUAUAUUGAACCGCAUGGUUCAAUAGUAAAAGACGGUUUUGCUGUCACUUAUAGAUGUAUCCGCGCCGCAUUAGCUAGUUGGUAAGGUAACGGCUUACCAAGGCAACGAUGCGUAGCCGACCUGAGAGGGUGAUCGGCCACACUGGAACUGAGACACGGUCCAGACUCCUACGGGAGGCAGCAGUAGGGAAUCUUCCGCAAAGGGCGAAAGCCUGACGGAGCAACGCCGCGUGAGUGAUGAAGGUCUUCGGAUCGUAAAACUCUGUUAUUAGGGAAGAACAAAUGUGUAAGUAACUAUGCACGUCUUGACGGUACCUAAUCAGAAAGCCACGGCUAACUACGUG
rnacentral:rRNA from 1 species